AAAGGGGAGGAAAUGCAGGAAAUGGAGAGGAAAUGGGGAAAUAGGAGGAAAGGGGGGAAAGGGGAAAAAAAUUGAGUUGGGAGUGGAGGAAAUGGG